rnacentral:rRNA from 1 species
AGAGUUUGAUCCUGGCUCAGGACGAACGCUGGCGGCGUGCCUAAUACAUGCAAGUAGAACGCUGAAGGAGGAGCUUGCUUCUCUGGAUGAGUUGCGAACGGGUGAGUAACGCGUAGGUAACCUGCCUGGUAGCGGGGGAUAACUAUUGGAAACGAUAGCUAAUACCGCAUAAGAGUGGAUGUUGCAUGACAUUUGCUUAAAAGGUGCACUUGCAUCACUACCAGAUGGACCUGCGUUGUAUUAGCUAGUUGGUGGGGUAACGGCUCACCAAGGCGACGAUACAUAGCCGACCUGAGAGGGUGAUCGGCCACACUGGGACUGAGACACGGCCCAGACUCCUACGGGAGGCAGCAGUAGGGAAUCUUCGGCAAUGGACGGAAGUCUGACCGAGCAACGCCGCGUGAGUGAAGAAGGUUUUCGGAUCGUAAAGCUCUGUUGUAAGAGAAGAACGAGUGUGAGAGUGGAAAGUUCACACUGUGACGGUAUCUUACCAGAAAGGGACGGCUAACUACGUGCCAGCAGCCGCGGUAAUACGUAGGUCCCGAGCGUUGUCCGGAUUUAUUGGGCGUAAAGCGAGCGCAGGCGGUUAGAUAAGUCUGAAGUUAAAGGCUGUGGCUUAACCAUAGUAGGCUUUGGAAACUGUUUAACUUGAGUGCAAGAGGGGAGAGUGGAAUUCCAUGUGUAGCGGUGAAAUGCGUAGAUAUAUGGAGGAACACCGGUGGCGAAAGCGGCUCUCUGGCUUGUAACUGACGCUGAGGCUCGAAAGCGGGGGGAGCAAACAGGAUUAGAUACCCUGGUAGUCCACGCUGUAAACGAUGAGUGCUAGGUGUUAGACCCUUUCCGGGGUUUAGUGCCGUAGCUAACGCAUUAAGCACUCCGCCUGGGGAGUACGACCGCAAGGUUGAAACUCAAAGGAAUUGACGGGGGCCCGCACAAGCGGUGGAAGAUGUGGUUUAAUUCGAAGCAACGCGAAGAACCUUACCAGGUCUUGACAUCCCUCUGACCGCUCUAGAGAUAGAGUUUUCCUUCGGGACAGAGGUGACAGGUGGGGCAUGGUUGUCGUCAGCUCGUGUCGUGAGAUGUUGGGUUAAGUCCCGCAACGAGCGCAACCCCUAUUGUUAGUUGCCAUCAUUUAGUUGGGCACUCUAGCGAGACUGCCGGUAAUAAACCGGAGGAAGGUGGGGAUGACGUCAAAUCAUCAUGCCCCUUAUGACCUGGGCUACACACGUGCUACAAUGGCUGGUACAACGAGCGCAAGCCGGUGACGGCAAGCUAAUCUCUUAAAGCCAGUCUCAGUUCGGAUUGUAGGCUGCAACUCGCCUACAUGAAGUCGGAAUCGCUAGUAAUCGCGGAUCAGCACGCCGCGGUGAAUACGUUCCCGGGCCUUGUACACACCGCCCGUCACACCACGAGAGUUUGUAACACCCGAAGUCGGUGAGGUAACCGUAAGGAGCCAGCCGCCUAAGGUGGGAUAGAUGAUUGGGGUGAAGUCGUAACAAGGUAGCCGUAUCGGAAGGUGCGGCUGGAUCACCU